rnacentral:rRNA from 1 species
UACGGAGGGUGCAAGCGUUAUCCGGAUUCACUGGGUUUAAAGGGUGCGUAGGAGGGCAGGUAAGUCGGUGGUGAAAUCCUAGAGCUUAACUCUAGAACUGCCGUUGAUACUAUCUGUCUUGAAUAUUGUGGAGGUGAGCGGAAUAUGUCAUGUAGCGGUGAAAUGCUUAGAUAUGACAUAGAACACCAAUUGCGAAGGCAGCUCGCUACACAUAUAUUGACUCUGAGGCACGAAAGCGUGGGGAUCAAACAGG